rnacentral:rRNA from 1 species
AAUCGAAGCAGUGAACUUAAGCCCCAGUAAACGGCGGCCGUAACUAUAACGGUCCUAAGGUAGCGAAAUUCCUUGUCGGGUAAGUUCCGACCCGCACGAAAGGCGUAACGAUUUUGGCACUGUCUCAACAACAGACUCGGUGAAAUUGUAAUUCCGGUGAAGAUGCCGGCUACCUGCGACAGCACUGAAAGACCCCAUGGAGCUUUACUGUAGCUUGCCAUUGGGUCUUGGUACUACAUGUA